rnacentral:rRNA from 1 species
UACAGAGGGUGCGAGCGUUGUCCGGAAUCACUGGGCGUAAAGGGCGCGUAGGUGGCGGCAUAAGGCCGUGGUGAAAGUCUGGGGCUCAACCCCAGAUCGGCCGCGGCGACUGUGUUGCUAGGGCACCGUAGAGGCAGAUGGAAUUCCGGGUGUAGCGGUGGAAUGCGUAGAGAUCCGGAAGAACACCGGUGGCGAAGGCGGCCCGCUGGGCAGGAAGACGACCG